rnacentral:rRNA from 1 species
ACCAUCCUCCAAGGCUAAAUACUCCUGACUGACCGAUAGUGAACCAGUACCGUGAGGGAAAGGCGAAAAGAACCCCGGCGAGGGGAGUGAAAAAGAACCUGAAACCGUGUACGUACAAGCAGUGGGAGCCUCUUAAUGGGGUGACUGCGUACCUUUUGUAUAAUGGGUCAGCGACUUAUAUUCUGUAGCAAGGUUAACCGAAUAGGGGAGCCGAAGGGAAACCGAGUCUUAACUGGGCGUUAAGUUGCAGGGUAUAGACCCGAAACCCGGUGAUCUAGCCAUGGGCAGGUUGAAGGUUGGGUAACACUAACUGGAGGACCGAACCGACUAAUGUUGAAAAAUUAGCGGAUGACUUGUGGCUGGGGGUGAAAGGCCAAUCAAACCGGGAGAUAGCUGGUUCUCCCCGAAAGCUAUUUAGGUAGCGCCUCGUGAAUUCAUCUCCGGGGGUAGAGCACUGUUUCGGCAAGGGGGUCAUCCCGACUUACCAACCCGAUGCAAACUGCGAAUACCGGAGAAUGUUAUCACGGGAGACACACGGCGGGUGCUAACGUCCGUCGUGAAGAGGGAAACAACCCAGACCGCCAGCUAAGGUCCCAAAGUCAUGGUUAAGUGGGAAACGAUGUGGGAAGGCCCAGACAGCCAGGAUGUUGGCUUAGAAGCAGCCAUCAUUUAAAGAAAGCGUAAUAGCUCACUGGUCGAGUCGGCCUGCGCGGAAGAUGUAACGGGGCUAAACCAUGCACCGAAGCUGCGGCAGCGACACUAUGUGUUGUUGGGUAGGGGAGCGUUCUGUAAGCCUGUGAAGGUGGCCUGUGAGGGUUGCUGGAGGUAUCAGAAGUGCGAAUGCUGACAUAAGUAACGAUAAAGCGGGUGAAAAGCCCGCUCGCCGGAAGACCAAGGGUUCCUGUCCAACGUUAAUCGGGGCAGGGUGAGUCGACCCCUAAGGCGAGGCCGAAAGGCGUAGUCGAUGGGAAACAGGUUAAUAUUCCUGUACUUGGUGUUACUGCGAAGGGGGGACGGAGAAGGCUAUGUUGGCCGGGCGACGGUUGUCCCGGUUUAAGCGUGUAGGCUGGU